GGCUAUAGCUCAAUGUUAGAGCAUCUGCUCUGCAUGCAGAAGGUCCCAGGAUCAAUCUCCAGGUGAGGGCCA